CAGCCGCCGCGGGAAUACGGAUGGUGCAAGCGUUAAUCGGAAUUACUGGGCGUAAAGCGCACGCAGGCGGUCUGUCAAGUCGGAUGUGAAAUCCCCGGGCUCAACCUGGGAACUGCAUUCGAAACUGGCAGGCUAGAGUCUUGUAGAGGGGGGUAGAAUUCCAGGUGUAGCGGUGAAAUGCGUAGAGAUCUGGAGGAAUACCGGUGGCGAAGGCGGCCCCCUGGACAAAGACUGACGCUCAGGUGCGAAAGCGUGGGGAGCAAACAGGAUUAGAUACCCCUGUAGUCCCUGUCUCUUAUAC
rnacentral:rRNA from 1 species